UCAUCUGCAUCAUCUCAUUGCCUUCACCAUGAAGACGCUGACUGUGACUGCCCUUCUGUGUGCCAUCAUGGCUCUGACUGGAGCUGCUGCUCUCCCAGAGGAAAUGUCUGGAGAAGAACCCAAUGAGCAACAUCUGGUCAAGCGGUCUUUAUUUUGUUGGCACGGUUGGACUCGCUAUAACGGUCGCUGUUUGCGCUUCAUUCCAAGAGCGAUGACUUGGACUAACGCUGAG